GGAAGACACUUUUCCUGUAUCAUACUCAUGAACAAGUGGUAAAAGGAUGUAAACAAAGACCAUAGAAAUAAGUUCUACAUAGAAACAAGUUCUACAUUGCAUUGGAACAAACAUGAGAGAUUAGCUAAUCACAGACAAUAACCUAUAGAUGAAAGUUUUAAAGUCCUAUUAAGAUAAAAUUAAUACAUGCAUUCAAUGUUGUACCUUGGGGGACACUAGGGCACUCCUGGCACCAGAUUUGAUCACAUGACAGGAGGCUUCAUAUUUUGCAUAACUUUCUUUAUUUCAUGCCUCCAGCAGCACAAGUCAAUCAAAAAACU